UUAAUUUGUGUGGCAUUCUCUGCCUUCCCUAUGGACACUAGGGGUUUUUAUGCCCUACUGCAGAGUGUCCCUGGUUGCAUGCAGAGACAUUUCUCUUGACACAGGCAGCCUGGCAGCAGGGGAUCCCUGGGAAGCAGACAGCUUCUGGUGGGUUGUGGUGCCCCAAGGUUUCUCUCUGGUCAAUCAGAACCCUUCUUUUGAGGCUGAACAUUGAUUUACUGUAUACCAUCUGAGGUCUGCACUUGGCUUUUGACCAUGCUUCAUGCCUGCUGCAACCACAGAGCCACCGCCACCACUAACCUUCCAAGGCUGAGCUGAAUUAUUUUCUGACUCGUGUAUCGCCAAGAGACGCAUCAGCUACAAGAGAUUCCAGCUGCAGAAUGUGUGUGCGCAGCGUGUCUUGUUCAGAUGUUAUUUCCUUAAUAAAAUUGCUCAUUUGGUGUGAA